AUUGGGUUUUCUUAGCACCAUAAAAGAUAGGAGGAACUCCAUCUAUUGAUUGAGUUUUCUUAGCACCAUAAAAGAUAGGAGGAACUUCAUCUGUUGAUUGGGUUUUCUUAUCACCAUAAAAGAUAGGAGGAACUUGAUCUGUUGAUUGGGUUUUCUUAGCAUCAUACAGGAAUAUUUGAUCUGUAGAUUGGGUUUCCUUAGCACCAUACCAAAGAGGAAGUUGAUCUGUCAAUUAAAGUUUUCAUAAAAAUAUCAAUUACUCUCUUAUUUCAUGAAACUUAUAUAAAUAUUGGUUUUGGUCCUUGUAAUGUACUUUUUUUUGUCCUUAUAAAAUUAUUAUUUUUUUAAAAUAUUCCUUUUAUUUUGAAAUAUUUUAUUUUAAAAAUAUUUUAUAGGGAGUAAAAGAAAAUGGUUUACAUGUUACAAGGACAAAGACGAAAAAAUGAAUGGAUUAGAAGAACUAAAAUAAAAUAACAAUGACUAAAAGAAAAAAAAAGGAAUCUUAUAAUAAAGAAUUGAUUACAUUAUAAGAAAUAAAACUAUAUUCAUGAGCAAGGUUAGUAAACUCAAAAGUUCAUGUAAAUUUAUAAAAUUUGUGUAAACUCGACUCGUAAAGUUGACUAGUAGACUCGUAAGAUUUAUAUAAUAAAAAAUAAUUUAAAAACCUAUUAAUUAAUAAUUAACCAAAAAGAUCAAACGUGUUACUCCCACAGCUGAGACACUUUCUAACAAGCCUAUUAAAAAAAUACUUUCUAACAAAAGGAUCAACCUCACAUUUGAUUUUGUUUUUGUUUUUCAUAAUCUAUGUUCUUCCUCUCUACUAGUUAUUUUCCUUUGUUUUUAGGCUGUCUUAUUCACCGAUAAUUGGAGAUGAUCUAUGUUUCUAUAUAUAAUAUUCACCGAUGCAUCUUUCAAUAAAGCUAACCAAAUUACGUGUAUUGCAGGCCGAGCACACUUCUUGAAGGUAGAAAAGAUUUGUUUCCAAGGGAAAUCUGAAUACCAGACUAUGCUAGUUUUUCAGGUGAGUGAUAAUAAUUAAUAGCGAAACACAAUAUCUUGAUUAAUUGGCUCUUGAUCGAUAUUAAUUUAUAGUUAUAUAAAUUGUUUCUGUUAAUUAUUGACGCUUCUUAAAUGUUAAUUCCAUUGCAGUCAUCAACAUAUGGUAAGGUUUUUGUCCUUGAUGGAGCACUCCAACUCACAGAGAAGGACGAAUGUGCUUACCAAGAAAUGAUGACUCACCUUCCUCUUUGCUCUAUCCUUAACCCAAAAAAGGUUUCGUAUGAGACAAAUACAUAGUCUUACGUACAUUUCAAUUUUCAAUAUUGCAUAUUAGUCUAUAACUAUAUAUGACUAACCAUAAUCUGUGGAAAUUAAUUAAUCUCUAAGAUUAUCUACCCUCACUUCUCAUAUAUGUUUAGGUGCUGCUUAUUGGUGGUGGAGAUGGUGGCAUUCUAAGGGAAAUUUCCCGCCACUCGUCCGUUGAACAAAUCGACAUAUGUGAAAUAGACACAAUGCUGAUUGAUGUAAAUAAAAUGUUUGACUCCUUAAUUUCCCUUGAAUAAAGAGUCAAAUUUUGACUUUAUGUACACUUAUCGCGUAAUUAAAGUGUCCAACUGUUUGUAUAAAGGAUAUAAAAGUUAUAUUCAUUCCUUAAGUAUUUUUAGUAUUAUUUUUAAUCUAAAUUAAAAUUUUACUUUAAUAAUUUAUAUGCAUCUUUAAUAUAAAAUUUUAUUACACGGAUUAUUGAAGUAAAAGUACAAUUUUGAUUGAAGAAGACUUAAGAAACUACAUUUAAGUUUAGUCAUAACUUCCUCUUUUCUUAUUUAUAAGAAUCAAAUUAAAAAAUUGACUUGAUCCUAUUUAUAAGAAUAAAUUUAAAAUAUCUGUUGAAUUAAUUGCUUUUUCAUAACAAAGUACUAUAUUUGCUUGCUUAAAAGAAACUUAACAAAAUACUUUUACCACAACAAUAAUUUAACAUUUGAAAUGUAUAAUAAAGUCAAACAACAAAUCACAAUAAUAAAAAUGUAACAAUACAUUAAUACUAAAUAAUACCAAAUUAUAUAUAAAUUCCUAAAAACAUAAGUUAUUAAAGUGAAAACAUUUUUAAAAUGAGUUAAUUUCUUAAAUCAUGGUAAAACAUUGUCAUUGUGGGAUUUAUGGGGUCAGAGUUAUGGUUAGUUUGAAAUUUGUUGACUCGUUAUCUAACUUGAGAAUUUAUGCAAUUUCACACGAAUUUAUCCAAAAAAAAAUCUACUAAAAUUAUAAGAGUUUAGUUAAUCAAGAGUUUAAUAAAUAUAUUUACGAGAAAUGAACCAAAAAAGUAUAAUAAUACAAAAACUAAAAAUAUAUUUAAAUUUUAAAUAUUUAAAUCAUAAAUAUUUUUAGAAAUAUUUAUAAUUAACCAAACAGAUUUUAAUUAUAUUUGAAAACCAUAAUUCUUAAGAUUUAUAAUUCUUCUAUAUGAAAAACUUAGCAAAUACUUCCUUGAACUAAUAUUUAAUGAAUCUUCAUCACAACACAAGUAUAAUUUAAUGCAUAUCCCAUAGGUCAGAUUAUCUUCAAGUUAAAUUAUUCUAACUUUUUAAUGAUAUUUUUUACACUAUUUGUCUCCCCUCUUUUCUUUAUCAUUCUAUCUAUUUAUUACACGUUUCUUUCGAUCUAUUUCCUCUUUCUCUCUCGUGCGUAAAUUGGUGUAUAAAAAUUAAGUAUACCUUUAAUUACUCUUUUCCUUUUAUAAAGUCAGGAGCAUUCAGAUUAUUGUUUCCACGUCACCGAAGUCAGUGAGUAAUUCACAGCCAAAGACAAGUUAUGUUCCAACUCUUAUUAUUGAUUUUCCUCAUUACUUAACUUUUAUUCUUAUAAGACUCUAAAAAAAAUAACCUUUCAUUUCUAUAAUACUUUAAUUUCAGCAUAAUCAUUAAUUGGGCCGACAGAAUGAAAUUCCUUACCUGGGUCGAGCUAGUUAAAAUGUUUUGCAUACAAUUCAAUAAUAUGCAUAUUAAAUUCACAAAACAAGUGCCCUUAAAUUUCUUACUUACCAAGGUUUAGAAAGUCUAUGAUUGCUUUGGGCAUUGGGGUAUUUGGAAGCAUCCUUUCCCAGUAAACUUCUGGAGGUAUGGCAGCAUGAGCUGUCAUCAGGAUCAGCUACAUAUUCAUAAAAAAUAUACAGUUAUUAAUUUAAAGAGUUUUUAAGUAAUUAUAUUGUAGAUACCAAACAAAAAGGUAAAUUAGUCUAUGUCUUUUAGAAUGAUGUUGCAGUGAACUUUGGGAUUUAACGUAAAUUAGUAAUUACUGUGUUCAUAUGUAUUGGAAAUCAAUAAUGACUUUUGAAGAAGUACUUUAAAUGUAAACAAGAUGAACAAAUAUGUUCAAUGUAUUCUUAAGCAAGUUUGACAUACAUAAAUUACAUGAAUGUAAUAUAUUUUUUUUCAGUUUUUAUGAAUUAUUAAUUUAUGAUUUUCUUGGGACCGAAAAUUAUAAAGGGAUCUCACGAAAAAUUAUUAUCUUAUUAUUUUAUCAAGUUUUUCAAUUUUUUAUAUUGGCCCAAAUUGGAACCAGAUAAAUUUAUUAUUUUAAAGAGUUUAUUAAUUUAAAGAAUUUCUACUGUACACCACUUCAGUUGCAUAAUAUGGAGAAAUGCUGCUUUAAAGUUCACAAAAUAAAAAAGAGAUGAAAUGCAUGUAAAAGUUAAAGCUCACAUUGAGAGAGAAAACCAAUGGAAGGCAACGAAACUCCAUAGCUGAAGCAAAGUGGUUAGAGAUGAGAAUGUGAUAUUGAGACACAGAGAAACCAAAGAUAUAUAUAGACCUUUUGGAGGAAGGGUGAGAUGGCAUUAUGAGGCAUAUGUUGCAUUUGAGCCAAUAGGACUUAUGGUUUAGGUGGAUAUGAAACACGAAUUUUGUAAGAAACUAUACAUUUAUUAUUUAGACGUAUCAAUUUAUAACAAUUUGACUUUAUAUAUUAUUAGGUAUAAUAAUUUUUAUUCAAAUAAUAAUUUUUAUUCGUUAAUUCAAAUAUUAUUAAAGCUUAGAAAUAAAAUUUAUUUAAAGCUGAGAAACCUCAAGAAAAACUAAUACAUGGAAGCAAGAUGUGCUCAUAAAGCAUGAGAAAUAAAAAACAGAAUACAUAAAUAAAAUAGUUUGGAGUUUUCAAACUAUUUAUUUUUUCUGAUAAAAAAAAGUAGAAAAAGAAUAGUUUGAAAAUUCCAAACUAAUAUCUAAUGUAUUUUUAACUUGAUUAGCCUCUCUAAAAAAUUGUGCCAACAGAACAACCAAUACCAUUAUUAUUUUAUUUUAUUUCUGAUAGAUAAAUACUUGAGUUGAAUGUAGUAUAUACUCUGUGAUUAGUGGUGAAGCUUAGUUAAUCUUGAGGGGAGUCAUGCCCCCCUAAAUUUUUCUUAUUUAUAUAUAAAAAGAGAUCACUAAUAAAUAAGAUUUUUGUAAUAUUUUUAUAUAUUAUUUAAAGUUAUUUUUCUUUAAUUAUUAACGGUUUUAAGUUAUUGAAAAGAUAUAAAUUAUUUUAAUUUGAAACAUUUUAGCCAUCGGAAGAGAAAAAAAAAGGAUAAUUUUAAUAUUUUCUUUUUUAUUAUUAAUUUUAUAGACAAUUUUAUGUUAAUAUUUCAUUUUAAGCUCUUGGUUUUUAUAACAUCAGUUAUUAUGGUUGAUUUAAUAACACUUGUUAUAGGUUAACUAUUUCAUUCAUUAAUUAACUUUUUAUAAUAUAUUUUUUUGUAUUUUUAAAUUCCUUAGUUUUAUGUCUUUAUAUUCUUGUUGCUAUUAAAAACACAAUAUGACUUAAAUUUGUGAAUUUUCUUUGUGGACCUUCUUCAAUGUAACUUUUUCCAUGAAUUUUGAGAUUGUCUUUUGAAUUUUCUCUACAAAAACUUCAUACAAAUUUUGUUAUAAAUUUGGAAAGAAAAUGAUUAUUUGUUUAAAUUUAUUAAAAAAAUCAUAAAAAAAUUAAUUACUUUAUGUAUUCUUAUACAAAUUUUGUUUUGUAAGAAAAUUGAUUUUUAGUACAAAUUAUUUUCACAAAAUUACAUAUAAAUUUUCUAUUUUUUUAUUCAGUUGCAAAUAAAGGUAUAAAAACUGUUAAGAAAACUUGAAGUGUUAUUAGUAUAGUAGAAAAAAAAAUUCUUAACAUAAAACACAAUUAUUAAAAAUAUUUAAUAUUUGAAUAAUAUGAUUAAUUACUUAAAAUCAUUGAGGAGGCUUGGGGAGUGGCAUGGCUAUUGGCUACAAAUUGAUGGUGGAUUUUAUUCAGGGCGUCAUGAUCAUUGAGGCCAAGGACCGAUCUAGGAAUGAAAAAAAGUCAAUUUUUCUUCACAGUAAUUUAAAUAUUUAGUUUCUAAUAAAUAAUUAUUUAAUAAGUAAUAAAUUUUAUAAGAAUAUUUAUUAUUAAUUUUAUAUAUAAAAAUAGAAAUAGGAUCCAAUACUAAAAGAAAUUAAUUUAAUAUCCUAUUUUAAAAUUUAUUUUCAUCUAUAAUUAAAUAUUAUUUUUAAUUAUUCCUUUUCUUAUUUAAUAUGAUGUUUCUGACUCGAUCGCAAGAAUUUACAAAUUGUGCGCCCCUUAUACUCAUACAAAUUCUAGCAAUAAACAUAGUUGACAUAUCCACUUCUUUGCGAACAAAUAACCUUAAGAACAUUUUGUUGUAAACAAGCUUGUCUCCUCAAAUAGAAAAGUUGGUCGAGUUUCUUGACUUGUUUAACCAUGUACUUUAUUAGCAAGUAAAACAGGUUCUUUUACCAUAGUUGGGACCAAGAAGAUUAAAUGAGACCAUGCAAUAUAUAUAUAUAUAUUCAAGCUAAAAUAUAAGAUGCAUGCAUAUUAAGAAUUAGAUUUUUAUCAUUAAGGUUUAAGUAAUUUAAAUGAAAAGUGAAAUAUUAUAUUUUACUAAAUGAACCUUAGUUGAAUGGAUGUAUUGAAAAUUAUUUUUAUUUCAACUUUCAAGCUAUUUAUUAUAGUUGGUGACAAUCUUCACUGUAAAUGUAGAGGAUAGAAUUAGAGAGUGUGUGAGAAGAGAGAUCGUGAAUCAAAGUCACUUUGUUGAAAGAAAAGUGAUUUUGUGUGACAGUGAUAUCAUUUCUUGUAAUCAUUGAUUGAGAUACUCGGGUUUGUACAAUGAUACACUAUUUGAGGUGAGUUAUAAUAUUGUAAUCAUUCUUGUGAUUGUGAAAAUAUUUUUGAGACGUUUCCAUGAACGUAACCAAGAAGUGUCGAAUCAUGUUAAAUUUUUGUAUUUGUUAUUUUUUUUCUACGAUGUAAUUUUUGUGUAUAUUCUCAUAAUCUUUUGUAGGUAUAAAUAAUUUUGAUUGUGAGAGCAUUAAUUACCCAUAUAUACAUAUAUAUAUAUAUAUAUAUAUAUAUAUAUAUAUAUAUAUAUAUAUAUAUAUAUAUAUAUAUAUAUAUAUAUAUAUAUAUACUUUAGUCUCAGACAUUAAUAUGUUAAAGAAAUAUAAUCCUAUGUAUUUAAAGGAAAGUAUCUAAUAGGAACUAAAAAAAAAAUUGGUACUGCAAGAACUAAAUCAAACAAAAAAAAUUGUCACUAAAAGCAAAAGCCAUUUUGUAUAAUAUUUUUCGACCAUUCUUGUUCUAUUAUAACUUUUAUUAAAUUAUUUGAUAUCUACCGGGGUUGUUGACUUGUCAUAUUCACCUUUGAUUUAAUUUGGAUCUUUACGAAAGAUUGAUGCAAAGCCAUCCCAAUCAAUUAAGAUCAUUAAGACCAUUUACAAUAAGAGUUGUUUAAGAUAUCAAGUACCUGUACGUGGGUAUCGGUCAACUACUCGUUAUAUUGAAAUUAUUGUAUCAUUAUAUUGUAUUAAAAGUUUUUAAAAUAUCUUUUUAAAUUAUAAAUGUUUAAUAAAUUUAUCAGUUGAAAUAUUUCAAUUUUAUUUUAUUGAUAAAAAUAUAUUUUGGAUGUUGUAAUUUUAGAUUUUCUUAAUUAAUUUUAAACUCUUAUAAUUUUUAUUUAUAAAUAAAUUAUUUUUAUUUUAUUUUUAGUUUCAGUUAUUAUAUUUUUUAUAUUAUAAUUCUACUAUUAAUUAUAUACUAUACCUAAACAAGUUUUAGUAAUUUUAGAUAUAUAAUUAAUGAUUCCUUAAAAAAAACGAGAAGACAUAUAGUUAAUGAUAAACGAAAUAAAAUUAAACAAAAUAUAAUAAAAUAGAAAAAAAAAAUCUUAUUCUAUUAUUUGAUUAUUUUUUUGGAUUGGAUACACUUUAUUAUGACUUACUACGAAAAAUAUUCAAAUCUUAAUUUUAUAUAGUGUCAAUUAAAUAUGGAUAUUAAGACAUUUCCGAUCCAUAUUGAAUUAAGAUAUGGAUAUUAAGACAUUUUCGUCAUAUGUCACUAGUAUGUUCAUGAUAAUAUAUUUUUUUGGGUAUAUCUCCAGUUUAAUAAUUUUGAGAGUCAGUUAUAAUAUAUUUGAUCCUACACGUGGAGUAUAAACUAAAUUAAUAAUAUUUCAUUCAUUAUUCUAUUUUUAAUUGAAUAUAGAUUUAUUUUACGUUAUUUUAUUGAUAUUAUUUUAUUAUUAUUGUAUAUUCAUAGUCAAAAGCAGGUACGGUUGAUGAUUCACUAACAUUAAGAAAAUAACCAUGUCUAGAACGUGAAGGAUUUUUUAAAAGUGAUUUAAUAAUAAUCAUAAUAAUAAUAUAUGAUUAUCCAAUUUUACUUUGUUUUGUUGAUAUUAUUUUAUUAUUAUUGUAUAUUCAUAUUCAAAAGCAAUGUAUGAUUGAUAACUCGCCUUACAUUAAAUAAUAAUAUAUGAUUAUCCCUAUUUUACUUUGCUUUAUUGAUAUUAUUUUAUUAUUAUUGUAUAUUCAUAGUGAAAAGCAAGUUAUGAUCAAUAACUCGCCAUACAUUAAAAAAGAAACCCCGUCUAGAACAUGGAGGAUUUUUCAAAAUUGAUUUAAUAAUAAUAUGAUUAUCUCCUAUCUUAUUAAAUAUGUGCCGUUUUUAGCCAUUUCUUUCUUCCUUGAGUGAGUCACUUGUCAAUCUGAAGUUAUAUUUCUAAAUUUAUUUACUUAUGUUAUUUGAUUAUUUCAUGUUCUCAGUAUGUUUUUGGGUGAAUUAGAAAAUUAUUUUGUUUUUUUUUUAAUUUAGACCAUUACUUCUAAUAAAUUGUUUUUAUAUACUUUUAAAAUAUUAAUACAUCAUUUUGAUUUGAGUAGUAUUAAGGAUCAAGUCUUUGAUAAUAAAAAAAUAUAUAAUUAAAAUAAAAGAUCCCUACACUAAAUAUAACUAAUCAGAUUCCUAAAUAAAACUUAGUCAGCAAAAAAGUUGAUACAUAUUCACACUAAUGCUAAUCCGAUGGUGGGAAAAAACUUUUAAAAUUGAAAGUGAGACAGUGAAUUUACUUUUCCAUGCAUAAAAUAACGUUAACUUUUUUUAAUGAAAUUUCUAAAUCAAUAAAUUUUGAAUGUAUAUUUCAAAUUUAAUAAAGUAAAGCAUCAUUGACAUUAUUCGCUCAGGAUUAAUAAUGAAUUAGUGCAUGGAAGGUUGUGUGAUUUUUUUGAUCAGUUGAAAUUUUAGUCACCAAUCCCUUGGAGUUUUUUUUUUUUUUUUUACAGUACCAACCCGUUUGAGAAGUUGUGAUAUAUUUAACAAAAUUAACAAGAACAUCUAUAAUAUAUAGUUAUUUAAAUGAGUUAUUUAUAUUGAUUAAAUUUAUGGGUUGUAUUUUAUAUACAUUUAAGUAUUUUACACAAUUAUUAUAAUAUUAAAAUUGUUAAAAUAAGUGUUUAAUUUAAUUUUAUUAGUUCUACUAUGCUUAAAAAUAUACUAUUUAUAAUAUAAAUGUGGGAACAAUGAGUAUAUAUAUAUAUAUAUAUAAACCUAGCCCACACUAGCAAGAUCCCGUAAGAAAAAAAAUCUAAAACAAAAGAUGGAGGAAUGAUAUAUUCCUCAGAUUGCAUAUGACUUGGAUUCCCAAGCUUGUGAGUCCAUCUGCCACAGCAUUAGCACUAGAAUGAAUAUGAAAAAUUGAUACUUCCCAAGGACACUGAAGAAUUGGAGAUCCUUGCAUGAUUGCAUGCGCAUGUCUGCAUGCAUAUCAUAAUUCGAAGUUCUAUUAAACGUAUUAAUAACCCAGUAACCCAAAGCAUGACUAAUCUCAUCCUUUAAAGCCAAUAACUCUGCCCUAGCUGGAAAUGUUGAUAUAUGUGGCACACUUAUUUAAGAACACACUAUCAGGGAAGACUUAAGUAACUUAUUUGGCAAACCAAAUAAGGUUGCCCUCAGGGAAGAUAUGACACAAUGGAGCAGUUCCAGGCUUGAUUUUAAGCAUUUGUAAAAAGAAAAAUGGUAUAUGGAUCCCAUUCUGAUGUGUCUUUGUGGCAUACAGCUGCAGCUUUAACUCUAGUCCCAUUUUCUCCCUCCAAAGGCAUAAAAUGUGCAGUAGUAUUUGAUACCUUAUGACAAAAAAAUAAUACAACAUAUGGGUAAUGCAUAGGAUGACAAGCAAUGACCUUAAUUAUCUUCUGCUAACAUCUUCACUCCAUCUUUCACUAAGUAUUUUUGGGCAUUCUUCCCAAGUAUAGAAAUGACAAAAUCUAGCAUGGUCUCUAAUGAAGUGGCACAAAGCUUUUCUUCUCCAGUUAUUGUAGGCCCUUCUCACAUAUGAAUAGCUUCCCUCUACCAUCUCAACAUUCUCUAGCUCUGGUUUAACAAAAAGCAUCUCCACUAUUUCUUUUAUCUUUGUUGAUGAGAAUAGUAUAUGCUGUGCUAUUUCGCGAGGCAAUAAAGGGAUUACAUUUUCUCCUUUAUUGAAGUGUGCAUCCAAUUUCGAGCCCGGCCUCAAUCGCUCUUCAAAGAAAACCAGAAGAUUAGAUGAUCUUCUGAUUCAAUUUUCCAAGCACCAUCGACAAUCUCGUCAGCUCCUUUGACAACAUAAAAAACACGAUAUCAACAUAUAUAUAUAUAUAUAUAUAUAUAUAUAUAUAUAUAUAUAUAUAUAUAUAUAUAUAUAUAUAUAUAUAUAUAUAUGUUAUGAAGGCAUAUUAUGAAGAAGAAAAAACUAAUAUUCUCCUAAAAAAUUAUAUAUUAGUCAACUAAAAUCACUUAAAAGGUAAAUAUAAAGACAUAUUUGAUUAUUCUUUUUCUUUUAUAAAGUCGGCAGUGACGGAUGCAGAGGGGAGUUCCUUGCCUUUUAUAAUUAGUGUAAAAUUGUUCAUAAAAUUAAUUGUGCAUUCAGUAUCACUAUGAUAACAGUUAAGGUUAAUGCCAUUUUAAAUAAAAUAUUAACUUUUUUAAAUGAAAAAUAAAAAUUAGCUUGAAUUUUAUUUGUAAAAUUUUUAAAUAUUUUUUAAAAAUUAUUAUUUAUUAGAAGUUAGUCAUUUAAACAAUGGUGAAGGAAGAAAAAAAUUAGCCUCCCAUUAAUAGGUUUUUAAUCCAUCCCCGAAGUUGGGAACAUUAAGAUCUUGGUUCCUUGUCACUGAUGUCAGCAAUGCAUAGCCGUAGACUACUUAAUUAUAUCCCAAUUCUAAUUAUUGAUGUUACUCAUGGUUUAAUCUUUUGGUAAAAUUACAUUUUUCUCCUUCUAGUUGUUUUUAGUUUCGAUUUCAGUAUCCCUUUAAAUUUAUUUAUGGAUUUAGUCUUCUAAUUAUGUCAAAUCACAUAAAUGUGAUCCUCUCCAAACCCUUGAUUUUGACGUUGGUUGUAACUUUAACAGUCACAUUUUGAUUGGAUAAUGAAAAUGUAUUGUUGUUGUCAACGUCCAAUUAAAACAUGACAUGUGACAAUCAACGUUCAAUCACAACGUGACACGUGAUAGUCAACAUUCAUUCGUAACAGUUAACGUCUAAAUUUAAACUUUGAAACCACAUUUACGGGAUUGGACAUAAUUGAACGAAUAAAUUCGUAAAUAAAUUUAAAAGAAGACUAAAAUCAAAAUUGGAGACAAUUAAGAAGACCAAAAAUACAAUUUUACCUAAUUUUUACUCUAGAGAAGACCUUUUAUUUUUAUUAUACUUUCAGCAUAAUCCCUAACUGGGCACAUAUAAUGAAAUUCCUUACAUGGAUCGUACUAGUUAAAAUGUUCUAUACUACAAUUCGAUAGCAUGUAUUCGGUAUUAAAUUCAGAAAACAAGUGCCCUUAAAUUUCUUACUAACCAAGGUUUAGAAAUUCUAUGAUUGCUUUGGGCAUUGGGGUAUUUGGAAGCAUCCUUUCCCGGUACACUUCUGGAGGUAUGGCAGCAUGAGC
rnacentral:lncRNA from 1 species